rnacentral:tRNA from 1 species
GCUGAAGUGGUGGAAUGGUAGACACACAGGACUUAAAAUCCUGUUGCAGUAAUGCAGUUCGGGUUCAAGUCCCGAUUUCAGCACCA